GAUUUUGUGAAUAUUCAUCAUAAAAUCGUAGAAAUAGAAUACAUGUAUAACCUUAUUUAUCUUACCUCCUAUAGAUUAAUAGGGAUAUUGGUUAAGGGACUACACAAUGUUACUAUAUAUAUUUAAUAUAGGGUGUCCCAAAAAAUAUUAGGUUAGUUACCACAUGGGGUAGUAAGGAGUUAUUUCUCUUUCAAAACAAGACAGAUGGCACGUUCCUUUAUAAAA
rnacentral:lncRNA from 1 species